rnacentral:rRNA from 1 species
GUGGGGAAUAUUGGGCAAUGGGGGAAACCCUGACCCAGCAACGCCGCGUGAAGGAAGAAGGCUUUCGGGUUGUAAACUUCUUUUAUGAGGGACGAAGAAGUGACGGUACCUCAUGAAUAAGCCACGGCUAACUACGUGCCAGCAGCCGCGGUAAUACGUAGGUGGCAAGCGUUGUCCGGAUUUACUGGGUGUAAAGGGCGCGUAGGCGGGAUAGCAAGUCAGGUGUGAAAUCCGGGGGCUUAACCCUCGAACUGCACUUGAAACUGUUAUUCUUGAGUGAUGGAGAGGCAAGCGGAAUUCCUAGUGUAGCGGUGAAAUGCGUAGAUAUGGGGAGGAACACCAGUGGCGAAGGCGGCUUUCUGGACGGUGUCUGACACUGAGGCGCGAAAGCCAGGGGAGCGAACGGGAUUAGAUACCCUAGUAGUCC